rnacentral:lncRNA from 1 species
UAGUUCCUGAAUCUGAUUCUAGGAGCAUUGAUGUAGUUUCGAAAGAUGAGAUUGUUACUAGUCAGACACUCGAUGAAGGGAUAUCACAAGAGCAAGUUGAAAUCCCAUCUUCUACAUUGCUUACUGAGGCAAAGGAGAUCGAAGCUUCUCAACAUGAGCAUGAAACUCCAACCAAAGACAAGAAUAUAGAAGAAGAGCAUGAUAAGGAAAUGCCAGCUGAUGAAAAUGCAAGAGAUUUAUCUGCUGAGAGGUCAGAAGAUGAGACACCCUUGCAAAAGGAAGAGUCCAAAGAGCUCAAAGCUUCUGAGUUGGCUCUGGAAAAGCUGGAUGCCGGUGAUACAGAAGAAGGAAUCAAAGAAACUCUUAAGACAAUCUCUAAAUCCGAUUCUCAAAGCAUUGAUGCAGUUUCAAAAGAUGAAAUUGUUGCUGACCAAACACACCUUGAGGCAUCUUAUGCUUUGCUUCCCAUGGAAGAGGAGCUCAAAACUUAUCAAGAAGAUCGUGAAACUACAACCCAAGACAGAUUUAUAGAGGAAGAGUAUGCCAAGAAAACAGAAGUGCCAGCUGAUGAAAAUGGGAGCGAUUUGGUUGCUGCAACAUUGGCAGAAGAGACACUGCUGAAGGAAGAGCCCGGGGAGCUCAAAGUUUCUGAAUUGGCUCCAGAAAAUCUGGAUGCUGGUGAAACGAAAGAAGAAAUAAAAAAAUCUUUUGAAAAGGUGUCUAAAUCUGAUUCUCAAAGCACUGAAGUUGUUUCGGGAGAUGAGACCACUGCUUACCAGACAGAGCUGGUGGGAGAUAAGGCCGUGGAGGAAAGCUUUCAAGUGCAAAGCCUUGAGGAAGCAGAACCAAAAUUGAGAGUUGAAGAUGAGAGUCGCGAAUCAGAAGACCAUCCUGAAAAUAACAACAUGAUAGUUGAAGAGGUAUGCAAUAUACAAUAUACAAUAUGAUGACCAUAAGCAUGUGACACCAUGCACCGUUAUAUAGAAACUCUAAUUUCGUAUUCUCUAACUCUUCCUUUUCUUUGCGAAGCCUCAACUGCUACAACAGGUCCUGGAUGAGCCAAAGAGCACUGACGGAGAUUCCAGUGAAGGACAAACCACAAAACGCAGUGCUGCAAUUUGUGCACCAGAAAUAAUUGAAGAAGGAACUGCUAAGCACUCUCAAGACUGUGACAAAGAGACAGAAAACUCACAGGAAGAGGUCAGCUUAUAAAGCCUACUUUGUCUCUAGGGGAAUUAUUGUUUGCCUGUUUCGAUUAUAAACUUAUUUUUUGUACAGAUACUUAAAGAGCCAGAGAUCGCUGGAGUAGGUGAGAGCACCACAUAUGAAACGAAUCAGAUCGCUGAAACACCUGAAGAAUUUUUUGAUGCUUCACCAGUGAAGUAUGAAGAAGGACAGCCGGGAGAAGGUAGCAGUCAAGAUUCAGCAAAAGCUUCAAAGGAGGAGGAUGUUACUGAAGACGAUGACAAUAAUGAUGCAGUCACAGUUACUGAAUCAAAUGCAGAGGUAACAUCAAAAGGGGAAGAAGAUUCAGCACAGCCUUCGGAGAAAUAUGAACCUGAAGAAGAGAAGGUACCUGUCAAAAUUAGUGACGUAGCAGAUGCAAAAGAGGUUUGCGACGUGGAGGAUAAAUCUUCUUUUCCCGAAAAGACAACAGAAGAGACAAGCUUGCAAACAGAAGGGCAUGCGGAGGUUUCUGAAUUGGCUCCGGAAAAGCUAGAUGUUGAAGCUACUGAAGAAGAAUUCAAAGAAGGUUCUGAAAUAGUUCGUGAAUCUGAUUCUAGGAGCAUUGAUGUAGUUUUGAAAGAUAAGAUCGCUACUAGACAGACACUCGACGAAGGGAUAUCACAAGAGCAAGUUGAAAUCCCAUCUUCUACAUUGCUUACUGAGGCAAAGGAGAUUGAACCUUCUCAACAUGAGCAUGAAACUCCAACCAAUGACAAGAAUAUAGAAGAAGAGCAUGAACAGGAAAUGCCAGCUGAUGAAAACGCAGGAGAUUUAUCUGCUGUGAGGUCAGAAGACGAGACACCCUUGCCAAAGGAAGAGUCCGAAGAGCUCAAACCUUCUGCGUUGGCUCUGGAAAAGCUGGAUGCAGGUGAUACAGAAGAAGAAAUCGAAGAAACUUUUAAGACAAUCUCUAAAUCCGAUUCUCAAAGCACUGAUGCAGUUCCAAAAGAUGAAAUUGUUGCUGAUCAAACACACCUUGAGGCAUCUUAUGCUUUGCUUCCCAAGGAAGAGGAGCUCAAAACUUAUCAAGACGAUCAUGAAACUACAACCCAAGACAAAGGUGUAGAGGAAGAGUAUGCCAAGGAAACAGAAGUGCCAGCUGAUGAAAGUGGGAGAGAUUUGGUUGCACCAACGUUGGCAGAAGAGACACUGCUUCAAAAGGAAGAGCCCGAGGAGCUCAAAGUUUCUGAUUUGGCUCCAGAAAAUCUGGAUGCUGGUGAAACGGAAGAAGAAAUUAAAGAAUCUUUUGAAAAGGUGUCUAAAUCUGAUUCUCAAAGCUCUGAAGUUGUUUCGGGAGAUGAGACGACUGCUAAUCAGACACUCCAUGAAGGUAUAUCAAAUGAGCAACUUCAAUUACCAUCUUCUACGUUGGUGCCCAAGGAAAAAGAGAUAAAAAUUUCUCAACGUGAGCAUGAAACUACAACCCAAGACAAGAAUAAAGAAGAUG